GGGGGGGUAGCUCAGUGAUAGAGUGCAUAUUUAUCAUGUGUGAGGCUCUGGGUUCAAUUCCCAGCACCA
rnacentral:tRNA from 1 species